rnacentral:rRNA from 1 species
AAAAACCUACGGGGGGCAGCAGUGGGGAAUAUUGCACAAUGGGGGAAACCCUGAUGCAGCGACGCCGCGUGAGCGAAGAAGUAUUUCGGUAUGUAAAGCUCUAUCAGCAGGGAAGAAAAUGACGGUACCUGAGUAAGAAGCUCCGGCUAAAUACGUGCCAGCAGCCGCGGUAAUACGUAUGGAGCAAGCGUUAUCCGGAUUUACUGGGCGUAAAGGGAGCGUAGGCGGCCUGCCAAGUCUGAUGUGAAAUACCGGGGCUCAACCCCGGGGCUGCAUUUGAAACUGUUUUUCUUGAGUGAUGGAGG